CGAAUAUUCGCCGCCCAGUGCUUUAGCUGUCAAGCAUACUCAAGUGUCAAAUAUAGAGACGGAUAUAGUAGAAAGCAGAGAAAGGAGACGCUUCCUAGCAAUGGCAGCUACCAAAAUUCUGUUGUUCUUCUUCUGUACCAUUGUGUCUGCUAACGCCAAAGAUAUAAAUAGGCAGAGGAUCAAUCCAUAUGCACCCAAAAGCAACACAGUUACGGUCAAAUAUGAAGGAACAGAAAAAGACGCAAGAGAGUUAGCAUCAAGCUUGGGCUUGGAAUUUAAAAAGAAG